AUUGAACGCUGGCGGCAGGCUUAACACAUGCAAGUCGAGCGGGGUGAUGGUGCUUGCACUAUCACUUAGCGGCGGACGGGUGAGUAAUGCUUAGGAAUCUGCCUAUUAGUGGGGGACAACAUCUCGAAAGGGAUGCUAAUACCGCAUACGUCCUACGGGAGAAAGCAGGGGAUCACUUGUGACCUUGCGCUAAUAGAUGAGCCUAAGUCGGAUUAGCUAGUUGGUGGGGUAAAGGCCUACCAAGGCGAGGAUCUGUAGCGGGUCUGAGAGGAUGAUCCGCCACACUGGGGCUGAGACACGGACCAGACUCCUACGGGAGGCAGCAGUGGGGAAUAUUGGACAAUGGGGGGAACCCUGAUCCAGCCAUGCCGCGCGUGUGAAGAAGGCCUUAUGGUUGUAAAGCACUUUAAGCGAGGAGGAGGCUCUUUUGGUUAAUACCCAAGAUGAGUGGACGUUACUCACAGAAUAAGCACCGGCUAACUCUGUGCCAGCCGCCGCCGUAA
rnacentral:rRNA from 1 species